GUGUUUUUGAAGUUCCUGCGAUCACCAGCGGCUGUGUGUCUGGCUUACUCCUCAAAAGCAGAUCUCAGUUGGUCAGAGAGCAAAGACGUGCUGUGCAUGGUUUGUGGUGAGAGAAGGGAACAGCUGUCCCUUUGGGGCUGACAGGGAGGGUAUCCUUACCUCUGUUCCUAGAUGGUGUUGCUGAGAGCUUUUCUCUUUGCUGUUUACUGUUUCAAUUCCCUGGGUCAGUCUGACCGGAUAUUAUAUUUUUAAGGGACACUUCGUAGCGGAGAUUAUCCGUUAUUCAUGGGCUGUGUAAAUUUGAAUGUCUCUUUAACGUUUCAUGGUUUUAGUUCCAGUUUAUUUACUUCUGCAAAUCUGCUCCCCUGGCCAGAAACUUGACUCCUGAGGAUGACAUCAUCUAGGAGGGAUGCAGGACUGUGCAAUAGCAUCGGGGUAGUUUUUCUGGGAAUCGAUGAUCUGACCACAUAUAAUAAGCCAGAUAAUUAGUGUCCAUCUAAUAUGCAAAACAAAAGGCAUUGAUUAAAUAUACAGUGUUAAACUAGAAAAACA
rnacentral:lncRNA from 1 species